GGGGUUGUGGUCUAGUGGUAUGAUACCUGCUUUGCACGCAGUUGGCCCGGGUUCGAUUCCUGGCAACUCCA
rfam:chromosome II of strain GB-M1 of Encephalitozoon cuniculi (Microspora)